AUCGAACGCUGGCGGCAGGCCUAACACAUGCAAGUCGAGCGAAAGCUGCGGGUCUAUUCUCGCACGGGUGGGUAAAGGGUGGGAACCUGCCCUUAGGUUUGGCAUAUGUUGGCGGAAGGGGUCCUAAUACCGGAUAAUAUCCUCGAACCAAAGUUUUGUCGCCUUUGGAUGUGCCCGGGUUGUAUUAGCUAGUUGUUAGACUAAAACACUACCAAGGCUAGGAUCGAUAGCUGGUCUGCGAGGAUGAUCAGCCACACUGGUGCUGAGACACGGCCCAGAGUCCUACGGGAGGCAGCAGAGGGGAAUAUUGGACAAUGGGGCGAAGGCUGAUCAAGCAAUGCAGGGUGAGUGAUGAAGGACCUAGGGUAGUAAAGUUCUUUUACCCCGGAUGAUAAUGACAGUACCGGGAGAAUAAGCACCGGCUAACUCCGUG
rnacentral:rRNA from 1 species